GCGACGGUGGUAGUUCAUCAUGAACAGUGCCGCCUUGAUGCGCGACUGAGCGAUCCGGGACAUCAUCACCCAGGUCAUUCCGUACGUCGACUGGACCAAUUUAACUGCGUGCCCGUUGAGGCAGUAGCACGAUAUGGCCGACAUGAGCAUCAGGCAUAUUGGACAUUCCAGUGCGCGACGAAUCUGCCGGGAGAUGGUCACGAUUUCGUCCGGGUCGGACGUCUACCCCGAAAUGGAAACCACCGCCACUGAAGACGACGACGCGGACGCUGACCCGUCUGCAGCUGUUUUUGAAUUUGACUCGAUUACCUCUGCCGUUGUAGAUCUCGGCGUCAUCGAUGAAGUCUCUACCUCCAUCGCAUCCGUCGAAGUCAAAGUGGUCAUUAUUACACGUUACGUCGUUACAUACAAAGCAGCGACAAGACACAAUUUAAAAAAUUGAUCAAUUGUACAAUUGUAUCAUUAUUAACCUGACCAUUUUUAAUAUUUAAAAGAUUAAACUCAUUAAACAGUUGCUCUACUUCAACAUUAUUUA